CAUAGCGGAGGAAAAGAAACCAACAGGGAUUGCCUUAGUAGCGGCGAGUGAAGCGGCAAAAGCUCAAAUUUGAAAUCUGGUACUUUCAGUAUCCGAGUUGUAAUUUGUAGAAGCAACUUUGGUGAUGGUCUUUGCAUAAGUUCCUUGGAAUAGGACGUCAUAGAGGGUGAGAAUCCCGUUUAUGGUGAAGAACCCACACUAUGUAAAGUGCUUUCGAAGAGUCGAGUUGUUUGGGAAUGCAGCUCAAAGUGGGUGGUAAAUUCCAUCUAAAGCUAAAUAUUGGCGAGAGACCGAUAGCGAACAAGUACUGUGAAGGAAAGAUGAAAAGAACUUUGAAAAGAGAGUGAAAAAGUACGUGAAAUUGUUGAAAGGGAAGGGAUCUAAAUCAGACAUGGUAUUUUGUGAUCAACAGUCUUUCGGGACUGUGCACUCGCAUUUUACUAGGCCAGCAUCGGUUAGAAGGGGGUAAAAAAGAUUUUGGAAUGUGGCUCCUCGGAGUGUUAUAGCCAAGGUUAAUUGCCCCAUUUCUGACCGAGGACCGCGU
rnacentral:rRNA from 1 species